AGGUAGAAGUGUAGGGGGUGGCAGGUGAGGUGCAGAAGAAGAAGAAGAAGAAGUUGUACCUAUCCAGUAAUUUUAUCUUGAUUUGUGGACUAGACGAAGACUAGAUUUUGAUGAAGAAAUCGACAAACUUGAACUGCAGGACUCGUGGCGCUGCUCGCCUCCUCGCCAAUGCGAAUG